AGGAUGUAAUGCAAUGUGCAUAGGAGAAGACUGUACGGCUACGUGUACCGGAGUAGCAUGUGAAGCGAGAGUAAGUUUGUUGAUUCUUAUAUCGGAAACUCGCUAGAUACCGGUAGAAUACUAAUUGUUUUAAGUUGGUCAUGGUGCCA